rnacentral:rRNA from 1 species
AUUGAACGCUGGCGGCAGGCCUAACACAUGCAAGUCGAACGCGUGCCGGACGGGUGCGUAACGGCUGGGAAACUGCCUGAUGGAGGGGGAUAACUUCUGGAAACGGUAGCUAAUACCCCAUACCACCAGCUGUUCCCAGAUGGGAGUAGCUGGUUGGUGGGGUAACGGCUCACCAAGGCGACGAUCCCUAGCUGGUCUGAGAGGAUGACCAGCCACACUGGAACUGAGACACGGUCCAGACUCCUACGGGAGGCAGCAGUGGGGAAUAUUGCACAAUGGGCGCAAGCCUGAUGCAGCCAUGCCGCGUGUAUGAAGAAGGCCUUCGGGUUGUAAAGUACUUUCAGCGGGGAGGCGUUACCCGCAGAAGAAGAACCGGCGAACUCCGUGCCAGCAGCCGCGGUAAUAC